rnacentral:rRNA from 1 species
AUACGGAGGGACUAGCGUUGUUCGGAUUUACUGGGCGUAAAGCGCGCGUAGGCGGUUUGGAAAGUCAGAUGUGAAAUCCCAGGGCUCAACCCUGGAACUGCAUUUGAAACUAUCAGACUAGAGAUUGGGAGAGGUAAGUGGAAUUCCGAGUGUAGAGGUGAAAUUCGUAGAUAUUCGGAGGAACACCAGAGGCGAAGGCGACUUACUGGACCAAUACUGACGCUGAGGUGCGAAAGCGUGGGGAGCAAACAGGAUUAGAAACCCUUGUAGUCC